AAAGUAUUUAUAAAGCCAAACAAGUACAAAGUUGAAGAGCAUUAAGGAUCCAAAAUUCCAAAAAGUUGUGCCAAACACGGCUAAGGUAAUCUAUGCCUGGGAUAAGAAAAUCCUUAGUUUUACGAAAAAAAUUAAGGUUUUGUAAACAGGAAAUUUAUAAAAAUGACCACAUUAUUGAUAUUCAUGUCAACACCGAAGUGUUAA
rnacentral:lncRNA from 1 species